UCCCCACCCCCCAGAGCUCCGGGGCAGCCAGCUCACAGAUGGCACUUGCGGGCCUGCAGCUCAUGGGGCCCCUCUCCAAGCGCAGAUCCUGCUGAAGUAUGGUGAUGUCUUGUCUGUUUCUUCUGUGAGGAGAGGGAUAUUUUAGAGGAAUGGCAGAAGGAGCUGUAUCAAUGCCUGAGGGAGAAGAAUAUACAAGGUUGGCUUCACUGGGUAAAUGUGGUGGGAUCCUGAGCAGAACUGAGAAGCAUCACAAAGAAGGUUGUGAGAACCUGAAGCUGCUGGGAAUGUUAUUGGGCAAAUCAAAAGAGAGAAUUUCCCAGAGACCUGA